rnacentral:rRNA from 1 species
AGAGUUUGAUCCUGGCUCAGGAUGAACGCUGGCGGCGUGCCUAAUACAUGCAAGUCGAGCGCACAGCGAAAGGUGCUUGCACCUUUCAAGUGAGUGGCGAACGGGUGAGUAACACGUGGACAACCUGCCUCAAGGCUGGGGAUAACAUUUGGAAACAGAUGCUAAUACCGAAUAAAACUCAGUGUCGCAUGACACAAAGUUAAAAGGCGCUUUGGCGUCACCUAGAGAUGGAUCCGCGGUGCAUUAGUUAGUUGGUGGGGUAAAGGCCUACCAAGACAAUGAUGCAUAGCCGAGUUGAGAGACUGAUCGGCCACAUUGGGACUGAGACACGGCCCAAACUCCUACGGGAGGCUGCAGUAGGGAAUCUUCCACAAUGGGCGAAAGCCUGAUGGAGCAACGCCGCGUGUGUGAUGAAGGCUUUCGGGUCGUAAAGCACUGUUGUAUGGGAAGAACAGCUAAAAUAGGGAAUGAUUUUAGUUUGACGGUACCAUACCAGAAAGGGACGGCUAAAUACGUGCCAGCAGCCGCGGUAAUACGUAUGUCCCGAGCGUUAUCCGGAUUUAUUGGGCGUAAAGCGAGCGCAAACGGUUGAUUAAGUCUGAUGUGAAAGCCCGGAG